UACACACACAUACAGGGCCGCCAUCAGGGCAUGACAACCGUGACAAUUGUCACGGGCCCGGCGGCCCUGGGGGGCCCGGCCGCCCGGGCCCCACGUGGAUCAGCGGAACUGCCGCCGGUGCAUCUGCACCGGGGCCCACACGCUGAUGGGGCCCAUCAGGUUGCCCCAAUCAUUUAGGGCCACCCAAUGGGCCCUAUUAUCUUCAGGGGCCCGUUUAGCGCUGUAAUAGCGCGACCGGGCCCCUUUAAAAAAAAAAAUGCAGCCGGAAGCAAGUGCUGCUGGGAGGAAGUGACGUCCGG